AAGAGUAGGCGUGCAGUUGCGGGUAAUGAGCCUAUAGCUGAUUACCUGAGGAAAGUCCGGGCUUCCAUGGAGAUCAGACUGCUGGAUAACGCCCAGUGCGAGCGAUCGCGAGGAUAGUGCCACAGAAAAAUACCGCCAUUUAUAGAAAUAUCGCGAAGCGAUAUUUCUAUAAAUGGUAAGGGUGCAAAGGUGUGUUAAGAGCGCACCAGCAGGGUCGAGAGGCUCUGGCUCGGUAAACCCCAGUCGGAAGCAAGGCGAGAGAAUAGGGAUAUGACGAUCUUCCUUGAAUCCUAUAUUCGUUGCUUGAGGCGAUCGCGUGUCAAGUGUGUGCCGCAAGAGGUAUCUGGCAACAGGUAUCCCAGAUAGAUAACUGCUAAAAAUGUUGAUAAAACCUUUGAAACAGAACCCGGCUUAUGUCUUGCUCUUCUUA
rnacentral:RNase_P_RNA from 1 species